GACGUAGGGCGCGAGCGUUGUCCGGAUUUAUUGGGCGUAAAGAGCUCGUAGGCGGCUUGUCGCGUCGGCUGUGAAAACCCGCGGCUCAACUGUGGGCGGGCAGCUGAUACGGGCAGGCUGGAGUUCGGUAGGGGAGACUGGAAUUCCUGGUGUAGCGGUGAAAUGCGCAGAUAUCAGGAGGAACACCGAUGGCGAAGGCAGGUCUCUGGGCCACUACUGACGCUGAGAAGCGAAAGCAUGGGGAGCGAACAGG
rnacentral:rRNA from 1 species